AGGUGAGGCUACGCAGGACGUCCUCUAUUGCCACUUCCGUGGGUGCUAGGUUAGAGGCUGGGGGCGGUGCUGACCUUGAGAGCGCGCCGGGGAGGCGCAGGCGCAGCACAGGAGAAUCCAGUUUUGCAAAAAUUGGGGAAACCAUUGCUUGCAGAGGGGACAAUAACGUAAAACCCUGAGGCAUGAACUACCUUGGGAAAUUCCAGGAACUAAAAGAAGGCCUGCCUGGUUGAAGCAUAGUAAGCAUAGUAACUACAAGACGAAGCAACUGGAGAACCUAAUUCUGACCAACAAGGAGGAAUUGCUUGGCUAAUUGGAAGUGACAGAAACCUUGGGAGAAAACAACCACAUACCAAGGAUAAUUAUAAGAAGUUGUUUAGCACCAGCCAAACAAGAGGUGAAAGACUCUGGAUUUCUAACGCACAGCAAUUUUCAGUUAAUAUGUCUAGAACUGCAAAAUAAAUAACCUCUAAGCAAAUCAGAUGGCAUCACAGUCAAGUUAACUCCUAGAAGGUUCAGGUGGGGUCUUAUUUCGAAGUUCUCAUAUUGAGAUGUGAGAAUAAAUGGUAAAACUGUAUCAGAAUAUUAAGAGGUGAGCACCCUUUCAAUUCAAAAUGGCACAUUGUUACCAGUAGUGAUUCAGGCCACCGGAGACUGAGUUCUACCAAAAUAGGGGAACAGACCAAGAAACAAGACCUGGCAAACCAAAAACAGUACUUCCAACCCAAUAGGGAGAUGAAGAAGCUGCUUGGACAAUCUAGAUGGCACAAUCUGGAAGUGCUGAGGAGUGAUAUUCAAUGGAGUAAACUCUGACCAAGGGGAGAUAAAAACUGUUUGAUAAUUUUUUUCCUAUGACCUCUCUAAAGACAUCCUACAAGACCAAGCAAUCUGCUGCACUUACCACGAAACUGAGACCAGCUGGGUAAUGAACACCCUGUUAUUUGUUCCUCCUCUUUUCCAACUUUACUUUUCUUUUUUAAAAUAGGGACACUUUUUAAUAAUAACCCAUCAGGAAGCUAUAACAGUUAUAAACACAUAUGUACAUAAUAACAGUACCCCCAAAAUAGUGAAGCAAAAAUAGAACUGAGAAAGAAAUGUACAAUCCAACAAUAAUAGUUGGAGACUUCAAUACCCCACUUUCAGUAAUGGAUAGAACAAUGAGGCAGAAGAUCAACAAGAAAAUAGAAGACAAAUAAUACUGCACAUAAAUGUGACUGAACAUAUAUCUAUAAAACUGUACUCUACAACAGUAGAAAACACUUUCUUCUCCAGUGCACGUGAAACAAUCUUAAGGAUAGAGCUUAUGUUAGGCCAUAAAACGAGCAUAACAUAUUUGUUAAUAAUACAACAAAUUCCAUGUAGAGGAUUUUACCACUUUAACAAGUGAGCUUUACCCCAGGAAUGCAAGGCUCUUUUAACAUUCAAAAAUAAAUUAAUGUAAGACACCAUAUUAAUAGAAUAAAGGACAAAAACUACAUGGUCAUCUCAUUAAGUAUAGAAAAAGCAUUAGAUGGGGGAAGGGGACUGGAGGAGGUGUUGGUCAAAGCACACAUAAUUUCACUUAAGCAAGACAAAUAAGUCCUCAAGAUGUAUUGUACAGCAUUGUGCACAAAGUUAACAAUAUAGUAUUUUAUGCUUAAAAUUUUGUUACUAGAGUAGAUCUUAUGUUAAAUGUUAUAUUUUUUUUUAAAAAGAAGUAGGAAGGAAACUUAGAGGUGAUGAUUAAGUUUUUGGCCUUGUAUAUGGUGUAGGUUUCAUGAGUGUAUUUUUACCUUCAAAAUCAUCAAGAUGUAUAAAGUAUGUACAGCUUUUUUUGUAUGUCAAUCAUACCUCAGUAAAUAAAUUUUAAAAAAGAACUAUCCACAUCCUCCUCAAAAAAAGAAAGAAAAUGCAUGUGACAGUAUUCAACAUGAUAAAAAUACUCAACAAACUGUGAAUAUCCUCAGUCUGGUAAAGAGUCUAUAUUGAAAACCUGCAGCUAACAUCAUAAUCAUGAAAUUCAGCAUGUGACCUUAUUUAGAAGUAGGGCCUUUGCAGUUGUAGUUGGUUAAGAUGAGGUCAUAUUGGAUCAGGGCUGGCCCUAAAUCCAGUAUCCUUAAAAGAAGUUCAUAUGAAGAUACACAUGGAAGAAGGUUAUAUGAUUUCAGAGCCAGAGGUUGAAAAACAGCAGCUAGAAGAUAAGAAACGCCAAGGACUGUUUAGAGUGCCAGAAGUUUGGAAGAAGCAAGUCAUGAAUCUCCUCUGGAGCCUUCAAAGAGACCAUGGCCCUCCCAACAUCUUAAUUUCAGACUUCUAUCCUCCAGAACUGUGAGAAUAAAUUUCUGUUGUUUUAAGCUACACAGUCUGUGGUAAUUUGUUAGAGCAGACCUGGGGAACUAAUACAGAUCUUGGUACCAGGAGGUGAGGUGCUGCCACAACAAAUAUCUAAAAUUGUGGAAGUGGCUUUGGAAUUAGAUCAUGGGUAGAGGCUAGAACAAUCUUGGCCAACUUUACUUUCAUUUUCCUCUUACUGCUAGCUUUCUGGGAUUGUACCACAAUAUAUGUGUGUGUGUCUAUGUAUAUGGAUAUAUAUACACACAUACAUACACACACACACACACACACACACACAUGCAAACUAUAAGUUUUUCCCUUGAACCCAGUUUUUUAGGGGUUUCCUAACAUACCUGUAAAACUGUUUUUCUUUUCAGACUGGUUGCAUGCAUAACAUUGAUAAAAAUAGAAAAAUAGAAUCUUAAUUUUUUUAAAGGGUAGAAAGGAGAAAAAAAGAUACUAGAGAAUCUGCUACAACUAAAUGAGAAAAUAAGCAUGUGAAAGAAGAUAUUUGAUCCAAAAAUCAUGGAAUUCAUUGGAAGGGUGACAAAGAGAAGUCUUGGACUGACAGUUGAGGCAUGCAUCUAGAGGAGAGCAAGGAAAUGCAGGGCUGCAGGAGGGAGGUGCCAGGACAGAAUGAAACUGGUUGGUUUUCUGAUGUGUUAUUCUAGAAAAUAAUAUCAUGAGAGUUAAUCAUGUAACUUUUGGAAUGUUUGGGAAAGAAUUAGCAAUAUGUACAUAGAGACUCAAGCAAAUAAAAAAUGAAACAAUUAUAAAUUUCAGAAAAAGCAAAUAAUGCAUCAAAAGAAAAAGUAAUCAGAACACAAUUUGACUCAAGAGUGAACAGGAUUAUGUAAUUACUGUAAUGUGAACAGUGAAUAUGGAUUAGCCAAAAGUUGUGACACAAAUAUAGUGGGAGGAAGAAACAUGGUGGAAGAGAGUUACUUCCUCACCUGCCAUCACAGGAAGUCAAUAGAGAGUGUCUAAAAUGGAUAAAUAAAAAAUUUCCACAAAAGCAUACUAUUCAGAAAUAGAGUAAAGCCUUGAGAAACAAUUAAAUGAACUGAAAAUUGUCACUGGGACAAAGUACUUGAAGGUGAUGGCAAGUACCGUUUUUCUUUCUUAUGUUUUUUUUUUUUCAGUCAUAUAACUUCUUUAUGCCAUUAAACUUUUUUAAAUAAUUGACUUUAUUCUUUUCUCUACUAUUAACAUCAUACUUUAGUACAUUGCUUAAAAUUAAUGAAAAAAUAUUGGUACAUUAUUAUUUGCCAAAGUCCAUACUUUAUCCAGGUUUUUUUAGUUUUUACCCCCAGUGUCUUUUUUCUGUCCCAGGAUCCCAUCCAGGUUACCACAUACUUAGUGGUCAUGUCUCCUCAGGCUCUCAUGAGUGGUGCUCAGAAUUUUUUUUUCUUAAUAACCUUGACAGUUGUGAGGAAUACUGGCAGGUAUUUUGUAGGAUGUCUCUAUCAGAAUUUGCCUGAUGUUUUUCUCAUGAUUGUU